rnacentral:lncRNA from 1 species
AAAAAGAAGAGACGCCAGGGUUCUUUCUCUCUCCACAUGCACACAAAGGAAAGGAUAUGUGUGAACACAGCAAGAAGGUGGCUGUCUGUAAGCCAAAAAGGGAGGCCUCACCAGAAACCAACCCAGCUGGCACCUUGAUCUUGGACAUCCAGCCUCCAGAACUAAGCAAAAACAAAAAAGUUACCAUUUGGAGGUAGAAAUGGUUCACCACAAGACACCCAGAUGGCAAUAGGAUUUCUGAGGAUGAGGAGCUGCAUCUUGCUUUUGUUUCUCAGAGUCUCUCUGGAGAAAGGAUUCAUCUAGAGCCCAUAAAACCAAAUCACGCAAGUAUUGAAUACUAGAGCCGGAAGGAUGUUGGAUCCAAAUUCUUCAGUUCCCUCCCAGGCCUGUCACUGAGUCACUAGGUGACUUUGGGCAUCUGGCUUGUGUUUCUGGCAUUCUCUUGUUUUUGUUUGUUUAUUUGUUUUUUGCUUUCUCUCUGCCAUGGCCAGAGAGAGCCUGGAUUAAAGUAAUAAUACACUAACAUUAUGGAUAGCCUCUGAAUUUUUAACUUUAGGAUGAUUCCACCAUAUGGUGGAAGAUGUUGAUGAAUGGGGAGGGGAAUGGUUGUAGCUUUAAACA